AUUGAACGCUGGCGGAAUGCUUUACACAUGCAAGUCGAACGGCAGCACGGGGGCAACCCUGGUGGCGAGUGGCGAACGGGUGAGUAAUACAUCGGAACGUGCCCGGUCGUGGGGGAUAACGUAGCGAAAGUUACGCUAAUACCGCAUACGAUCUGAGGAUGAAAGCGGGGGACCUUCGGGCCUCGCGCGAUCGGAGCGGCCGAUGUCAGAUUAGGUAGUUGGUGGGGUAAAGGCCUACCAAGCCGACGAUCUGUAGCUGGUCUGAGAGGACGACCAGCCACACUGGAACUGAGACACGGCCCAGACCCCUACGGGAGGCAGCAGUGGGGAAUUUUGGACAAUGGGCGCAAGCCUGAUCCAGCCAUUCCGCGUGCAGGACGAAGGCCUUCGGGUCGUAAACUGCUUUUGUAUGGAACGAAAAGGCUCUGGCUAAUACCUGGGGCUCAUGACGGUACCGUAAGAAUAAGCACCGGCUAACUACGUG
rnacentral:rRNA from 1 species